AGUGAUUUAACAAUUGAAAAUACGUCUGACCAUAGAAAACAAAUGAAUGCAAACAUUACUUCAUUUAUUUCUGAUCUUUCAAAGAGGAAUAUCGCCAGCAAAAUGAUUUCUCUCACUCGAUUUUCGAGAUUUCUUCCUCUGCAAAGUGGUAAAAACGAGAGUGUCAGGAGUUACACUCAAACGAAGAUGAUGGCUGGAAUAGCAAUGAAUCGAUUUGAAAAGAAGAAGAUCAGAAUGCUGGGCCUAAUAUUCUGGGCGGGGAUGCUAGUCCCGCCAUUCCUCAGUCUCACACAGAUUAAAAAAUUCAACAAAGAAGAAGACGCCGAGGAAUAACUCCCGCCACUAGGCUAUUUCACACGAGAAACCGUUAUCCCCGAAAACCGCCAACUUCCCCAAAUACAUGAGAAUUCAAAUAAAAUCUAAAAUAGCAUCUGCGCAUGUACCCAACAUCUCGUCUAUUCGAAUUACACACAUAUUACCUAUACAUAACACGCCAGUUAUUUCAAGCACAUACCUAAACCCUUUUCUCACUUCUCUCUCAUUUCUCCGAUCAUAUCUGCACUUACACGAGAUCCAUAACAAUCAUCAAAUCAUCCACAGCCCCUAAAUGAUAAGAUACCUAUCUCAACACUCAAUACUUAUCGCGGAAUAAUAUGCCCCAGGCGUCUCUUUUCAAUUACAAUUCCAGGAACGUGACAUGUUAGUCAUCUACAAUUUUUUUUUUUAUUCGUUCCAAUUCUGAAUGUCACAUUUUUGUAGGCAAAAAUCUGUUAUUCGCACUACAUGUUGAGCAUACACGGGACAUUUAAAUAAAUAAAACGAAAUGCAUGAACGAAAUUUUGAAACAAAA